AUACGUAGGGUGCAAGCGUUAAUCGGAAUUACUGGGCGUAAAGCGUGCGCAGGCGGUUUUGGAAGACAGAGGUGAAAUCCCCGGGAUCAAACUGGGAACUGCCUUUGUGACUGCAAGGCUAGAGGACGGCAGAGGGGGAUGGAAUUCCGCGUGUAGCAAUGAAAUGCGUAGAUAUGCGGAGGAACACCGAUGGCGAAGGCAAUCCCCUGGGCCUGUACUGACGCUCAUGCACGAAAGCGUGGGGAGCAAACAGGAUUAGAUACCCUGGUAGUCCACGCCCUAAACGAUGUCAACUGGUUGUUGGGUCUUCAUUGACUCAGUAACGAAGCUAACGCGUGAAGUUGACCGCCUGGGGAGUACGGCCGCAAGGUUGAAACUCAAAUGAAUUGACGGGG
rnacentral:rRNA from 1 species